AUUGAACGCUGGCGGCAGGCCUAACACAUGCAAGUCGAGCGGAGCGGCGGACGGGUGAGUAAUACCUAGGAAUCUGCCUGGUAGUGGGGGAUAACGUUCGGAAACGGACGCUAAUACCGCAUACUAUCAGAUGAGCCUAGUUCGGAUUAGCUAGUUGGGGAGGUAAUGGCUCACAAAGGCUACGAUCCGUAACUGGUCUGAGAGGAUGAUCAGUCAAAUUGGAACUGAGACACGGUCCAGACUCCUACGGGAGGAAGCAGUGGGGAAUAUUGGACAACGGGCGAAAGCCUGAUCCAGCCAUGCCGCGUGUGUGAAGAAGUUCUUCGGAUUGUAAAGCACUUUAAGUUGGGAGGCGUUACCAACAGAAUACGCACCGGCUAACUUCGUGCCAGCCGCCGCGGUAAUAC
rnacentral:rRNA from 1 species